GCGGACAGAAGGGAGCUUGCUCCCGGAUGUUAGCGGCGGACGGGUGAGUAACACGUGGGUAACCUGCCUGUAAGACUGGGAUAACUCCGGGAAACCGGAGCUAAUACCGGAUAGUUCCUUGAACCGCAUGGUUCAAGGAUGAAAGACGGUUUCGGCUGUCACUUACAGAUGGACCCGCGGCGCAUUAGCUAGUUGGUGGGGUAAUGGCUCACCAAGGCGACGAUGCGUAGCCGACCUGAGAGGGUGAUCGGCCACACUGGGACUGAGACACGGCCCAGACUCCUACGGGAGGCAGCAGUAGGGAAUCUUCCGCAAUGGACGAAAGUCUGACGGAGCAACGCCGCGUGAGUGAUGAAGGUUUUCGGAUCGUAAAGCUCUGUUGUUAGGGAAGAACAAGUGCGAGAGUAACUGCUCGCACCUUGACGGUACCUAACCAGAAAGCCACGGCUAACUACGUGCCAGCAGCCGCGGUAAUACGUAGGUGGCAAGCGUUGUCCGGAAUUAUUGGGCGUAAAGGGCUCGCAGGCGGUUUCUUAAGUCUGAUGUGAAAGCCCCCGGCUCAACCGGGGAGGGUCAUUGGAAACUGGGAAACUUGAGUGCAGAAGAGGAGAGUGGAAUUCCACGUGUAGCGGUGAAAUGCGUAGAGAUGUGGAGGAACACCAGUGGCGAAGGCGACUCUCUGGUCUGUAACUGACGCUGAGGAGCGAAAGCGUGGGGAGCGAACAGGAUUAGAUACCCUGGUAGUCCACGCCGUAAACGAUGAGUGCUAAGUGUUAGGGGGUUUCCGCCCCUUAGUGCUGCAGCUAACGCAUUAAGCACUCCGCCUGGGGAGUACGGUCGCAAGACUGAAACUCAA
rnacentral:rRNA from 1 species